rnacentral:rRNA from 1 species
ACGGGAGGCAGCAGUGGGGAAUAUUGCACAAUGGGGGAAACCCUGAUGCAGCGACGCCGCGUGAGUGAAGAAGUAUCUCGGUAUGUAAAGCUCUAUCAGCAGGGAAGAAAAUGACGGUACCUGACUAAGAAGCCCCGGCUAACUACGUGCCAGCAGCCGCGGUAAUACGUAGGGGGCAAGCGUUAUCCGGAUUUACUGGGUGUAAAGGGAGCGUAGACGGCGAUGCAAGUCUGAAGUGAAAGGCGGGGGCUCAACCCUUGGACUGCUUUGGAAACUGUAUUGCUAGAGUGCAGGAGAGGAAAGUGGAAUUCCUAGUGUAGCGGUGAAAUGCGUAGAUAUUAGGAGGAACACCAGUGGCGAAGGCGGCUUUCUGGACUGUAACUGACACUGAGGCUCGAAAGCGUGGGGAGCAAACAGGAUUAGAUACCCUGGUA